AACGAACGCUGGCGGCAUGCCUAACACAUGCAAGUCGAACGAGACCUUCGGGUCUAGUGGCGCACGGGUGCGUAACGCGUGGGAACCUGCCCUUAGGUUCGGAAUAACUCCCCGAAAGGGGUGCUAAUACCGGAUAAUGUCUUCGGACCAAAGAUUUAUCGCCUUUGGAUGGGCCCGCGUUGGAUUAGCUAGUUGGUAGGGUAAAAGCCUACCAAGGCGACGAUCCAUAGCUGGUCUGAGAGGAUGAGCAGCCACACUGGGACUGAGACACGGCCCAGACUCCUACGGGAGGCAGCAGUGGGGAAUAUUGGACAAUGGGCGAAAGCCUGAUCCAGCAAUGCCGCGUGAGUGAUGAAGGCCUUAGGGUUGUAAAGCUCUUUUACCCGGGAUGAUAAUGACAGUACCGGGAGAAUAAGCUCCGGCUAACUACGUG
rnacentral:rRNA from 1 species